GAUGAACGCUGGCGGCGUGCCUAAUACAUGCAAGUCGAGCGAACAGAUGAGGAGCUUGCUCCUCUGACGUUAGCGGCGGACGGGUGAGUAACACGUGGAUAACCUACCUAUAAGACUGGGAUAACUUCGGGAAACCGGAGCUAAUACCGGAUAAUAUAUUGAACCGCAUGGUUCAAUAGUGAAAGACGGUUUUGCUGUCACUUAUAGAUGGAUCCGCGCCGCAUUAGCUAGUUGGUAAGGUAACGGCUUACCAAGGCAACGAUGCGUAGCCGACCUGAGAGGGUGAACGCCCACACUGGAACUGAGACACGGUCCAGACUCCUACGGGAGGCAGCAGUAGGGAAUCUUCCGCAAUGGGCGAAAGCCUGACGGAGCAACGCCGCGUGAGUGAUGAAGGUCUUCGGAUCGUAAAACUCUGUUAUUAGGGAAGAACAAAUGUGUAAGUAACUAUGCACGCCUUGACGGUACCUAAUCAGAAAGCCACGGCUAACUACGUG
rnacentral:rRNA from 1 species